UACGAAGGGGGGCUAGCGUUGCUCGGAAUCACUGGGCGUAAAGCGCACGUAGGCGGCUUUCUAAGUCAGGGGUGAAAUCCUGGAGCUCAACUCCAGAACUGCCUUUGAUACUGGAGAGCUCGAGUCCGGAAGAGGUGAGUGGAACUGCGAGUGUAGAGGUGAAAUUCGUAGAUAUUCGCAAGAACACCAGUGGCGAAGGCGGCUCACUGGUCCGGUACUGACGCUGAGGUGCGAAAGCGUGGGGA
rnacentral:rRNA from 1 species